CACUGUUCAUGAUGAUUGUCUUAUAAAACAAUGGGAAUCUCUCUGAAAAAGAAUGAAAGAGAUCAGCAUACUGAAACAGUG